rnacentral:rRNA from 1 species
CACGAAGUGAGUGGCGGACGGGUGAGUAACACGUGGGUAACCUGCCCAGAAGCAGGGGAUAACACCUGGAAACAGAUGCUAAUACCGUAUAACAGAGAAAACCGCCUGGUUUUCUUUUAAAAGAUGGCUCUGCUAUCACUUCUGGAUGGACCCGCGGCGCAUUAGCUAGUUGGUGAGGUAACGGCUCACCAAGGCGAUGAUGCGUAGCCGACCUGAGAGGGUAAUCGGCCACAUUGGGACUGAGACACGGCCCAGACUCCUACGGGAGGCAGCAGUAGGGAAUCUUCCACAAUGGACGCAAGUCUGAUGGAGCAACGCCGCGUGAGUGAAGAAGGGUUUCGGCUCGUAAAGCUCUGUUGUUAAAGAAGAACGUGGGUGAGAGUAACUGUUCACCCAGUGACGGUAUUUAACCAGAAAGCCACGGCUAACUACGUGCCAGCAGCCGCGGUAAUACGUAGGUGGCAAGCGUUAUCCGGAUUUAUUGGGCGUAAAGCGAGCG